UAAAUAUGUGUGUUUGUGUGUCCAUCUAUUCAGGUUGGGUCAACGUGGACCUAGACCAAAGCCGGAUCCAACCGGUUGAAGUUUUUGGACCCAGACCCAACUCACCAAGUCCAAAACUUGGACCAAGUCCCAAACUCGGAUCGGGUCCGAUUGCCACCCCGAAUCAAAUCCCCCCGAGCAAGUUUUUCACUAGGACAGUAAGUUUACAAUCUACGCCGGCAGAGCAUAUAAUAUUUUUUCCAUUGGAAAAAUGCACCAACAUGCCUUUAGCCUCCACAUUCUCGUCUAUCACCCCAAACGUAUUGAACCUUUUUCAUUAUUCUCUAAGUGCAACCUAACAUGCUCUUUAUAGUAUGCAAUUUGUCUUUCUUUUUGGUUCUUCUUUAAAACUCUUAUUUCUUUAACACAUGAUGAAUUCCUGGUCUUUGUUUGAAAUAGCC
rnacentral:lncRNA from 1 species